rnacentral:rRNA from 1 species
UAUAGAUCCAGACAACCUCGGGAAACUGAGGCUAAUCCGGAAUAGGGCUCUCAUCCUGGAGUGGAGAGAGCCUGAAACGCUCCGGCGCUAUAGGAUGUGGCUGCGGCCGAUUAGGUAGACGGUGGGGUAACGGCCCACCGUGCCAGUAAUCGGUACGGGUUGUGAGAGCAAGAGCCCGGAGACGGUAUCUGAGACAAGAUACCGGGCCCUACGGGGCGCAGCAGGCGCGAAACCUUUACACUGCACGCCAGUGCGAUAAGGGGACUCCAAGUGCGAGGGCAUAUAGUCCUCGCUUUUUGCGACCGUAAGGUGGUCGCGGAAUAAGUGCUGGGCAAGACCGGUGCCAGCCGCCGCGGUAAUACCGGCAGCACGAGUGAUGACCGCUGUUAUUGGGCCUAAAGCGUCCGUAGCUGGCCGCACAAGUCUAUCGGGAAAUCUCUCCGCUUAACGGAGAGGCGUCCGGUGGAAAC